rnacentral:rRNA from 1 species
UACGGAGGGUGCGAGCGUUGUCCGGAAUCACUGGGCGUAAAGGGUGCGUAGGUGGCGCUGUAAGUCGGGUGUGAAAUUUCGGAGCUUAACUCCGAAACUGCAUUCGAUACUGCGGUGCUUGAGGACUGGAGAGGAGACUGGAAUUCAUGGUGUAGCAGUGAAAUGCGUAGAGAUCAUGAGGAAGACCAGUGGCGAAGGCGGGUCUCUGGACAGUUCCUGACACUGAGGCACGAAGGCCAGGGGAGCAAACGGG